GAUAAACGCUGGCGGCGUGCCUAACACAUGCAAGUCGAGCGGUAGGGCCCAGCUUGCUGGGUACACGAGCGGCGAACGGGUGAGUAACACGUGGGUGACCUGCCCUCAGCUCUGGGAUAAGCCUGGGAAACUGGGUCUAAUACCGGAUAGGAUCUUCCGGUGCAUGCCGGGGGGUGGAAAGUUUUUUCGGCUGGAGAUGGGCCCGCGGCCUAUCAGCUUGUUGGUGGGGUGAUGGCCUACCAAGGCGACGACGGGUAGCCGGCCUGAGAGGGCGACC
rnacentral:rRNA from 1 species